rnacentral:snRNA from 1 species
AUUCUUACCUGGCAGGGGAGAUGCCACGAUCAUGAAUGUGGUUUUCCCAGGGCGAGGCUUAUCUGUUGCACUCCGUAGAUGUUCUUACCCCUGUGAUUUCCCCAAAUGCGGGAAACUUGACUGCAUAAUUUGUGGUAGGGAGGAAGUGCAUUCCUGCUUUCUCCUG